rnacentral:rRNA from 1 species
CACGGGGGGAGCAAGCGUUGUUCGGAAUCACUGGGCGUAAAGGGCGUGCAGGCGGUCAGGUAAGUGGGAUGUGAAAUGCCCCGGCUCACCCGGGGACCGGCAUCUCAUACUGCUUGGCUUGAGUACGGGAGAGGAUGUGGGAAUUCCUGGUGUAGCGGUGAAAUGCGUAGAUAUCAGGAGGAACACCUGCGGUGUAGACGGCUUACUGGACCAUAACUGACGCUGAGGCACGAAAGCGUGGGUAGCAAACAGG